GCCACAGAUGCUGGAUUGUCAACUCGGUCGCUUGCCCAAAACAUCAGAGACUCUACUUCUUCCAACCCCCAAAUCUCAAGAGCAGUUGAAGCUGCAGUUGCACUUCUGCAGGAUAUACAGAAGGCACCCAAAGGUGAAAAGCUGCAAAUCCUUUGUUGGAGGAGAAAUUGGUUUCUUCACAUAUUCUAUCCCAGAACAUGGUGAUACUAUUACUAUUUCUGAUAAAUACAAAUCACUAAUUAUUUUUAAGACAGGGAUAAUUCUGUGUGUGUUCCCCAGGCAGGCACACUACCCAUUGCUCCAAAUAGGGAUAUCCCAUUUGGAGGGGCGAGUAUGGGAUCUACCAAGGUCGCUACACUAUUCUAAAAAGAAAACACCCCAUCCAGGUGAGACAAUACGUCAAUGAACCAAGCAAUUUAUAAAGCAAGACAUACAAUUCAUUCACAAAGCCCUAGUUGCCUUUGUACCGUCAUCUGCAGGCUUUUAUCUUAGCUGACCAGACAAUUGCCACACCCCAACUUCCCAAGAAACUAAUUGAAUGAAAACAGAAUGUUUUCUUUACAUUGCAUGUAAAGAAAUAAACCACUUUUUGAAAGGUGCCCCAUAAUCCGGCAUUAAAAACCAUUUGAUCGGUCACACCAGCCUUAAACCCUUGGCCUUCGGGUAAUUCAUAAAAUGCCACCUCCGGUAGCUCUGGGUUGAAGAUGUAUCCACCGAUCCGACCAUCAUCCAAUCCCCAUUCCUGUGCCAACAUAUCCUGGUGUAGUUGAUGGACUCAGGUUAAACUCUGCAUCGGAAAAAAGGUGCCGGUACUCUCUUUCAUUUGCAUAUCAUUACAUUUGAGAUUUUUACAGUGUCUAGCUCUGGCACACGCAUUCUUUUAUUGCCUUUCUGAAGCCAGGCUAACAUGACUUACAAUUUCAAAUCUGACACCAUUUUUCUAAGUUUCUAGGUUUUGGAUUUCACCAGUGAAAAAUGUGUUUACACUCAGGCGGAAGCCGCAGCCAUCAGACAGCUCCUGAUGGGGUGAACCGACUGCUUGCCUUUACGUGAUUCGUCAAGAUCUUUAGUAAGUCACGUAUUGCCCUCUGGGUAGUGUAGUUUAUGUAACGUUACGUUAGGUCAUUACAAAUCUCUCUGACACUGACGCUUUUUCUGGCAGUGGUAGAGUACCGGCUGCAUGUAAGAAGUAGCGGUAUGCAAGAAAAUGUGCCGCUACUGUAGAAGAAGUACCGCCCAACUUCGAGCACUGCACAUUAUACCCUUCAUUAACUACUAUCAUGGCUUAAGCAGAGUUAAGGUUGAUAAAUUAAGUCAAGGUUAAAAUGUGGCAAAAUAAUGUUUCUAUCAAAAUGAUUCCACACGGCUUCAGUUACUGUAUUUUGAAGUGGGAACAUCUACUCCAAGUAGGUCUUACAAGUUGGAAAAGUGACAGGUUCUUUAGGUUCCAGAUAGACAAGGCAGGGUGUGUAAUGAACACCGGGACCAGGGGUUUGAGGACCCAAUUGCGGAACACAACUGUCGAUUUAUUAGCAAAAGCACAAGGGAUACCGCACGAGCAGAACGAGAGAGACAGGCAGGCAGGUUUGGUAACCGGGUCAUCAGUCCGCGAAGACGACAGUACAAUUAUCCUACCUGCUUGCAGGGGCAAGCAGGUAGGAUAAUUGACUGGGCAGGCAGGGAGGCCAAGAGGCAGGCUUCUAUACACAGAGACAAACGGGGACAGGGCCAGGAGAGGACAACAGGCUGGGAAUGAAUGCCACGGAAGCGUGAACAACACCUCACAGCUGAGUGGAGGUGGAGAACGAGGCGUUCAGUAUUCCGGUGAUUGGGAUCCGGAUUGCGAGCUGCAUUCAGGUACACUGGGUUGUGAGUGCGUAGUGGUGGCGGGCAUGGUGCGCGAAAGGGAGGAGCUGGAGCAGGAACGAUGCGAGGACCUCACAGGUGGAAGUGAGGCCAAAACCCAGGAAAAUAUAACAUUUUAUGACUCUCUGACAGUCAACUACACAUCAUGUCCGACAAGCUAUUCCAUUUGUGUUUUCCUUCAGAUACCCGUUUAACCACAUAUCAGCAAAUCACUUGUUUUCUAAGGAAAUCUGAGUAUUUAUUCAGUGUAAAAUGAUAUGGAAGAGUACAGUCUAUUAUAGUAUACUGCCUUUUUCUGAAAUAUUUUAUGAGAUUAAGAGACACAUUGAGAGGGAUUGUAUUCCUUUUUAAAAUACAACAUUUUGAGCAACUGGAUAUGCUUUGUAUGCAAUUAAAGAUUGCCUUCAAUUCAAUGCCUCAGAUGAUCAAUGUGGUUCAAGUCUAGAAAGUAUAUUUUAGAGCAAAUUUUUCGUGGGUUUACAAACUUAAUUCUGUAUGAUAGUUCUGAUUCUGAGUCUUAGACCAAGUUAAUGUGGCAUGAAUCCUAAAACUUUAUUAAAAAACAUUUUCCAGGCAAUCAUAGGAUCAAUGAUUUUGUCUGCAAAUGUUCAUAUUAAAAACAAAAACAUGAAACCAAUAUUGAUUUUCUUCAGAGGCUGUAUACAAAAGUGUAAGGACCUUGUUCAUUGAGGAUUGCUGUCUUCAUAGCCUGGAGCCGGGUCUUCUGAAAAACAUAUUUACACAAGUUCACAUCAAUUCUUAGGAAAUCAGGUUGUGGAAAUUAUCCUACCAGGUAGGAUAAAAGACAGCCAAAGGUAGUAGAUACGCAACUUAGUCACUUGACUCCAUUGCAUUCUGCAUCUAACAACUCUGUGUCUCCAGAACAGGUGAGUUAAAUUCCAACCAUUAUUGAUAUCCUUCAAGGAAGUGUUUUCUGCUGUUGCGUUUGCCAUCUCUGGCAAGCAGGUUAUUGUAAAUGACUGUGGGACAAUUUCUGAUAUAAUAAAAUCUUUAGGAAUUCCUCCAUUAAAUUAUUAAUUGUUUGGUUGAUUGAUUUAUUGCCCAACCUGAAU
ensembl:lncRNA